GAAUUCGAUUCAGGCCUAACACAUGCAAGUCGAACGGGUGCAGCAAUGCAUCAGUGGCAGACGGGUGAGUAACACGUGGGAACCUUCCUAAGGGUACGGAACAACUCAGGGAAACUUGAGCUAAUACCGUAUACGUCCGUGAGGAGAAAGAUUUAUCGCCCUUAGACGGGCCCGCGUCGGAUUAGCUAGUUGGUGGGGUAACGGCCUACCAAGGCGACGAUCCGUAGCUGAUCUUAGAGGAUGAUCAGCCACACUGGGACUGAGACACGGCCCAGACUCCUACGGGAGGCAGCAGUGGGGAAUCUUGGACGAUGGGCGCAAGCCUGAUCCAGCCAUGCCGCGUGAGUAAGAGGGUCUUCGGAUUGUAAAGCUCUUUGCCAGGGACGAUAAUGAC
rnacentral:rRNA from 1 species